GGCCCUAGGCCGCCGAGGGGAAGGUCGCUAUGGUAACGCUCGCGCCACUAACUCAAUAAUAGCCUCGAAAGCUGAGCUGUUAUUUUCUCAUUCUCCCCCCCCCUCCCCUUCUCAAAAAAAAAAAAAUUAAACAGUCACGAGCCGCGCCGACUGGGCGCGAGGUCACGGCCCCGAUACGCACGCGCAGGGCGCGCCCAACGCACACGCCUGUCCGGGCUUAAAGAGACAGUAACGCAGAACUCGCUCCCAGGAGCCAGCGAAGGAAAGACACAACGCGCAUUGACUCUUCCCGCUCCAGGGAGAGAAAGGGACAGCCACGCCCCCCAGGCCCACACUUCCGGCACCUUGUGCUGACCUCACAGUCAACACUCAACAGCGAGCGCGUGCUCCCCUUCCGGAACCCAAUAGGUUAAGGAUUUUUUGUUCGCUUGUAUCUUACUUCUGGAGGCAGAGCUUCUCAGGGGACGAAAUCUUCCAUAUACAUUUUGGUUCCUAUACAGGACUGAAGGAUCGUGCUGUCAUCUUCCUCAGGCUGAACCCCUCCUGACUUCAAUAGGAAUUUUGAUUGUUUGAGAAAUACAGGAUUUGGCCAUGAAUGCACUUGGGAAUAUAUUCCCAGUAUGGGACCUGAUUCUGCAAGCAUGGAAAUGAGUAACUUUAUUCAUGAACAUGUACAAGGGGGCCAAAUUAAAGCAGGGAAACCUGAAUUCUGGCAUUUCUAACUUUUGAGUGCUUGAUUUUACAAUCUUAAUAAUGUUUUUCUAGCAUAACUUGUGUGUAUGUAGUAUAGCUAUAUCAUUGAAAGAAGAUGUGGUCAUUCGUUUGUUUGUAUACAACACCUUUAAAAUGUACAGGAGUCUUGCCUGACUGUUGCUGAGGUAGCUAGGAAGCAACUGGCAGUUGGUUUUUCAGGUUAGAUGCAGACUAUUACACAGUGAAACUCUUUUCUUCCUCUCACACGCUCCAUCCCUCAGACUUUAGGGGUUCAUUGGUUUUAAUCGGAAAUAAAAGUUAAUCAAGACGGAAAUAUCCAUAUAUUGCUCUUUGCAUCUGAGAAAUCAAAACCUAUACAAAUAAUGAGAAUAAAAGAAUUCACUCAACUGUACUCUGAGACUCCAGGCCCCAGUGCAGAAGAACUUCUAGGGUUGUGCUGGCCUGAAGAGUCUGACUCCUAUCUCUCAUUCUACUGUGUGUUUAAUUGUUGCCUCCCAUUCCCCUUUUCUUCCUCUCUCAUUUCAGUAUGGUUCCCUCCCUGCCUCUCAUUGUGUACUAGAGAGCACAAAGUGCCAAUGCAGUUGUACAUGGGCAGGAUGCACAGACCUGUUCUUCAUGUUUGUGAUCCUCUCCCUCUCUCUUCAGAUGUACUUGUUUCUGCUCAAGGGAUUAUAAAAGGGCUCCCAU